CUGCAUGGUUGUCGUCAGCUCGUGCCGUGAGGUGUCGGCUUAAGUGCCAUAACGAGCGCAACCUCAUCAUUAGUUACCAUCAGGUAAGGCUGGGGACGUCUAAUGAGACUGCCAUCGUAAGAUGUGAGGAGGGUGGGGAUGACGUCAAAUCAGCACGGCCCUUACGUCCGGGGCGACACACGUGUUACAAUGGGUGGUACAAAGGGCAGCUACCUGGCGACAGGAUGCUAAUCUCCAAAACCACUCUCAGUUCGGAUCGGAGUCUGCAACUCGACUCCGUGAAGCUGGAUUCGCUAGUAAUCGCGCAUCAGCCACGGCGCGGUGAAUACGUUCCCGGGCCUU
rnacentral:rRNA from 1 species